rnacentral:rRNA from 1 species
CUAUGUUGCUAUAUCUAGUUGAAAGCAUUGGUUCUUGUCCGACUACCGAAGUUAAGCAACGUUGAGCCUAGUUACUGCACAGAUGGGUGACUGACUACUCAGAGAAAUCUAGGCGCUGUAAAGU